rnacentral:lncRNA from 1 species
GCAUUGCAGGGAAGUAUGCUUCCUGAGUCAGAACUUGGACCAGGUCAGGUCAUUCGUUUGCCUGCCAUCUCAGGAGACAGGGAGUUCUGGAAAGCCCAAGCGCUGGUUGUCAGGAAGGUUUGGAUUCGAAAUUCAGCUCUGGCUCUGACGAGCUCCGGGACCUUCUACAGCUCGCCAAGCAUCUCCCGACAUCAGCUUCUCUGGACACCACUGGGUGGGGCACAGAUGUGGCUCCAGUGGGCCGUGCCCGACACGUGGAGGAAGGAAGCUCGGUGAGUGGCCCGUGUGCGUGGUGUGCGCCGCGGCCGCCGCGUGAGCAGGUGCUGUCUGGGGACCGUCGGUGCACCGAGCAGGAAGCAGGAGGCCCGCCCCACCUCCCCGCUUCCAGGACCCGCGGGGUCCCUUCUCAGGGCUUUUCUGGGGAAAACUUCAGCCCAGAGAACCAUGCGCUAUGCAAACAUCCCUGCCGAGGCUUCCGGAAGCGUCCUUAGGGUCAGGAGAGAGAGAGAGGGAGAGAGGGCCUCCUUUUCUGAGGGAAGACACCCCUGCACCCCCUUCCCGCUGACUCGGGCCGUGGGGUGACGUCCCCCAGGAGAAGGCCCAUCUCAUCCGCCGCGAGAAACGUCUGCGGGGCUCUGAGCGGCCUUUCUUCAGCCUGGCCUGACGACCGCCGUCUCAGCCUGGCCGGCCCGCCACGACGCCACUCUCGACCCUAAUUAACCCCGACCCUCAUUAACCCGGGCCUCAGCCAGCCCCGAGCUGGACCUGGGGAGGUUUGACGUGGGCGUCAGAGACAGAGAAAUGCAAGGCUCCCAGGCCAAGACCCUGCAGGGAGGAGCUGGCGGGCGCGGGGGCAGCGGACGUGCAAGUCGCCACCCGCCAGGUCACAAAGGAGGCGCUGCGCCAGGUGGGUGCCGCCUGAGCGGCGGGUGGGAUGCCCAGCCGAGUCCUGAGCAUGUGGAGAAGGGUGUGGGAUCCGUGCUCAGGCCCCUCCCCAGCUCCCUCCCAAGCAGGGCCAUUAAAACCUCUUCUGGCCUCCAGAUGCGCGCCUGCAAGCUAUUUCCCUUUUGUUGUUUCAAGCCGGGGCCUUGAUCUUUUGCCACUUUGGAAGAAGCGGAGAAACAAAGAGGUCUGGUGCUGUUGCUUAACAGCGAGCCUGGCUUCCCGCGCAGGGCCAGCAUUCCUCCGACCUCCGUGCCACCCCUGUGAUGGCGGCAGGCCCGAGAUCUGCGGGGAAGGGGCCGUGAGCUCCCUGGCCCCAGCGCCAGCGCUCGCAGCGCCCUCUCCUGCGUCCGGUGCUCUCCUGGCCGGCCUCUGAAGUCUUCCUUCUUGCCGCGGCCGCUAGAAAGCAAGUGGUGAGAAGGAUGAGGUGACGCGGGGCUGCGGGGUGUGCCCGAGAGCACCUGGGGCUGCCGGGCCCUGGCUCCCACUUCACUUUGCAGGGGACCAGACGUCCCGGACCAGCCCUGGGUGCCCCGUGGCGUGCUGGAAAGAGCCCUGCGCUAGGAGUCGUGGACCGCCUUCCACCAGGCGGGCAGGGCCUGCUUGGCUUGUUGGCCACUGUGCCCUGGCUCCAAACACAAGGCUGGUCCAGCGGGGGACACGGCAGCCACUUGCUGAGGGCGGAAAUUCCAGCUCUGCCACAGGGGGCCCGCAGGACCCUGGCCAUGCCAACCAUUCUUUCACUCCUUCACAUCCUCAUUCAUUCUCGCAUCCCACCAACACACGGAGAGCCUGCCCCGGGCCCUGUAAUUAGGCAACAAGAGCUGCGACAGGCUCUGACAGUGGGACGUCAGAGUGUCCACUCCGCCAGAGGAGCCCGCAGGCUGACGCCUGAAGGAUGGAGAGAGGCUGCUCGGGCAAAGGAAGAGGGCAGACCCGUCCAGGUGGGGGACGGAGCCUGCAGGAACCUGGAGACACAGGAGAGGGGCCACCUGGGGCCCUGAGGGACUUGGUCCAUGAGAAGAAAAGUGCCAACAGGAGGAAUGGAGAUGUGAUGACAGCAGUGGAGGCCCAGCCCCACGAGGGGGUGUGGCUUAUCCUGGGGGUCCUGGGAGUGACACAGGGCUUCCGGCAGGGAGUGCAACCCAGCUGGGAAGCCUGAAGGGCGGACUAGAUGGGGACUGUGGGCAGGCAGCCAAGGCAGGGGCCACCACACCCUGGAACAGCAGCGAGGGCCCCGGGGGAAGCAGGCAGAGGCAGCUCUGGGAACUAGCGGGAAGAACAAGUGGGACUUGAGAUUAGACAGGGACAAGUGACAGCCAUGCCACCAGCUCCCUCCAGAGCACGUUGUGGAGCGGGGGUGGGGGAGGGACCCAGCUUGGCAGUGUUCAGGGUGAGACAGAAACAGGGGGUGGUCUGGGCUAGAGGCUGGGAGGGGCCUGAAGCCACCUGAACUCGGGAAGCAGAGGCGGAGCACCGAGAGGAUCCAGGGAAGCAUCCACAGCCAAGCGCCAGACUAAGACGUGGAGAGGCGGGCGGAACGCCAGGGCAGGUCCUGGGGUGGCCAGGCCAUCCUGAGGAAACACAGUCACCUGAUCAGGCCCCCUGCUGCUGGAGGAGGGGCAGGUCCCCAGCCCUACGGGCACAGGCGCCCUCACUGCAGACCGGCUCCCGCCCAGAAACACUCCUUCCACCUCAGUCCCUGCAAGCCUGCUCCUCACCCCAGGCUGUGCUGGUCCUGGGGGGCUCACUUCUCUGAGCCUGCGGAGAGGCAGCCCCAUGCAGUGGGAGCCACGAAAACAGCUUUCUUUCCAGAUGCCUUUCCAGGUGUGUCUGCACAAAGCACCACCACUUUCAGAUGAAGAGGGCAGAGCCCUGGGCUGGGGAGUGAAAGGCCUGGGUCAAGCUUUAGCUCUGCCUCUGGGGCAGCAGUACCCUCUUCUCUUGCCUCAUCUGCCCCACUGGGCAGUGGAUAUAACGCCUGGGUGCCCCCACAGGGGGCGGAUGAGUAUCAGCAGGGUGCCAAAGGAACGUCUCAGGCACUGUCGGCGUAACAUGAACAUAAAGAUUGUAUCGUCACCAUCACUGCCACCACCGCCGCCGCCGCCACCGCCACCGCCAUCACCACCGCCACCACUGCUACCAUCAUCAAUCCUGCACUUGAAGUCCUGCCACCUGCCAAGGGGUCCUCCUAUGGCAGAGAACACACCACCAUCUGAGAGUCUCCAGAGCUGGGUGGACAUUCCAGUGACGUGAGAGCUCUGACACGAGAGUUUAGUGUCAUCUGGGCUACAGACGGGCCGCUGCGAACAGACCGAGGAUAAGAGACUCCCUGUCCGUGGGCUCUGAUAAAUCCCAGGAACGGGGCAGGGUUUUGCUUCAUCCUGGAUCCAGAAGAAAAAAAUGACCUAAUAAUGCAUACGCACAAUUUAUAUGCGUUCUUACAUAAAUCACACCCCAAAACACCAAAAAGAUAGAGAACGUGACGAAGGAUCCUGAAAUCGGGAAAAGCCCCAACCUCGCGACGGAGGCCCUGGAGGAAAGCAGCUGGGGACGUGGACAAAGAGCCCAGGGCCAGCGGGGGAGAAGGGGCCCGUCAGAGGCCCAGGCGUAGAGGACACAGGCUUUUGCCCUGGUCGAUGCCCUCGGAGGGCAGCGUCACCUGGGUCUUCCAUUAGCCCCGAGCCGGUGAGAGCAAAGGGCCCCGUCCUCUGCGCACAGGACCGGGCAGUGAGGGGUCAGAAACACGAGGACUUUACUGGACUCGAAGGAAGAUGUGACCCCAGACGCUGGAGGACUUUGGGACAUGCGGGAGGCGGAUAGUUGAGGACUUUUUCCUUUUUUUCCAGCUUAUUUUUGCUUUAAAAUUGUCUUGUUUCUAUAGACUUGUGGUUGCCAAGAGGUGGGGAGGAAUGGGUUGGGGGUUUGGGAUUCGGAGAUGCAAACUAUGAUUAGAGCACAGGGAGCUGUAUUCAGGGUCCUGUAAUAA